GAGCGCACGCGGUUUUUUAAGUCUGAUGUGAAAGCCUUCGGCUCAACCGAAGAAGUGCAUCGGAAACUGGGAAACUUGAGUGCAGAAGAGGACAGUGGAACUCCAUGUGUAGCGGUGAAAUGCGUAGAUAUAUGGAAGAACACCAGUGGCGAAGGCGGCUGUCUGGUCUGUAACUGACGCUGAGGCUCGAAAGUAUGGGUAGCAAACAGGAUUAGAUACCCUGGUAGUCCAUACCGUAAACGAUGAAUGCUAAGUGUUGGAGGGUUUCCGCCCUUCAGUGCUGCAGCUAACGCAUUAAGCAUUCCGCCUGGGGAGUACGGCCGCAAGGCUGAAACUCAAAGGAAUUGACGGGGGCCCGCACAAGCGGUGGAGCAUGUGGUUUAAUUCGAAGCUACGCGAAGAACCUUACCAGGUCUUGACAUACUAUGCAAAUCUAAGAGAUUAGACGUUCCCUUCGGGGACAUGGAUACAGGUGGUGCAUGGUUGUCGUCAGCUCGUGUCGUGAGAUGUUGGGUUAAGUCCCGCAACGAGCGCAACCCUUAUUAUCAGUUGCCAGCAUUAAGUUGGGCACUCUGGUGAGACUGCCGGUGACAAACCGGAGGAAGGUGGGGAUGACGUCAAAUCAUCAUGCCCCUUAUGACCUGGGCUACACACGUGCUACAAUGGAUGGUACAACCAGUUGCGAACUCGCCAGAGUAAGCUAAUCUCUUAAAGCCAUUCUCAGUUCGGAUUGUAGGCUGCAACUCGCCUACAUGAAGUCGGGAAUCGCUAGUAAUCGCGGAUCAGCAUGCUCGCGAUGAAUACGUUUCCCGGGUCCUUGUACACACCGUCCGGUCGCACCAUGAAGAGUUUCGUAUCACCCCAAAUCAGGUGGGCGUAACCCUUU
rnacentral:rRNA from 1 species